GCUGUGGAUCAGUGGCAGAGUAUCUGCUUUGCAUGCAGAGGGUUCCAGUUUAAAUCCCUGACAUCUCCA